GACUCCUGAACAGAAAGAAGAGGCAUGGGGCUUCUAAGGUCAGGGGAAUGGGAACAAUAGUGUCUUAGGGGCCCAUAGCAGAAGGUCCUGGGCUAUCCUGGGGAGCCACUCACAUGCAGCUGAUCCAGAAAGAGUUGGGUGCUGAGGGCUCUGCUCCUUUCUUACCUCUUUGGUGCACCUCACAGGCCUGAUAUUCGAGCAGCUUGUUGAGAGUCUGGACAUCAUUCUCUUUGGCAGCUAGAAGGAAAGGACACCCCAAGAUCCUACAAGGAAAUGGGAUCAGAAAGGUAUCAGUAGUGAGCAUGCCCAGUGAUGGGGUGACGAGUGAGGAAUUGCUUGAUUGUAUGUAAACACGUGGACCUCAGUGAUAACAAACCCCAAGGUCCCUGGUUCAGGGAAUUGAGGCCAUUGGGGUGCAAAGAGUUUCUGAUCUCUUUUUUUCCUGACCAGUUAGCCCAAAACUCAGUGACUGGUUUCUACAUCUCCCCCACCCCGCCCCCUGCCAGGGUGUGGGCACCAGAAUGUAUGUACAUAGCAGGCAUGGAGGGGAGGAGCUCUACUUAGGCACUCACUCAUCUCUUGAACUAUUGACUUCUGGAACAACCCUGAUUCAGCCUUCACUGAGUGUCCUGAGAUGACCCUCCAUGAUAAGCCUUGUUUUCAAGGACAAGGAAUACAAGGCAUUCCUCCCUCUUGUUUGUGGAGGAAGUCAACACGCAGAGGUUAGCAGGUUUUCUCCUGUUGCAUGGUGCUCUGCUUCCUCGACCUUCUCAGCGAAACCCUUUGAUCCUGGCUCUUCCCUCCCUGUACCAGCAUCUUUAGGGUUCAACCCAAAAGGAAUAGUGCAGCCUUUUUGUUUUUCUGGCAGAUUAUAGUCUCUUCCUACUUCCUAUCUGUUUCUCACUUAUUUUAAGCAAAAAUUAUCUUCUCUGACUCCUCAAUCCUCUCUUAAGUUUAAUUCCUACAAUGAACUCAGAAACAUAUAUAUAUAUUUUAAUUUUUUAUUAAAACUUACUUUAACUAAGACACUUGGGACCCCUUUCAUUCAAUUUUCUCUCUCGACCCAGAGCCAUGGGGUCUUUCCAUGGAAGUGAAUGAAAUAACCCUGUUUAUCCAGAGAUGGCCAAUUAUGUGACAAAGAGAGAGCCAGACGGGUGCUCACACACCUGGUGGCGGCAGGAAACCCACUCCAGUGCUGGGGGUAGGAGUGCAAUGGGAGAGGAGGAUUGAGCCCCGGACACAUCUCCCAAAUGCUAGCCACAGCCCCCUCAUGCCACAUAGGCAGCUCCUGGCCCUGCCAAUUCACCAUCGAAUUCUUUCUCCAUUCAAUCCCUACCUCCUCAUCCUGUCUGCCCCUCAUUAAUUCAUGUCCUCAUUCUCUAACCCAAGAUUAGCAAAGUACUCUCCUAACUAGUCUCCCCAAACCUGUUUACCCCCAGUUCACAUUUUUCAAUGCUGCCAAGAUACUCUCUUUAAAUGGCAAUUGCAAUCACAGCUUACAAAAGUUCAAUGGGUCUUUAAAUGCCCAAGGAGAAGGGACCCUUUACAGUUUCUGGGCAACACUUUUCCAUGCUCUUUUCCUCCCACUUACAUCUCCCAGCCAGCAUUUUGGCCUCACCACCUGUGCCAUGCCCUGCUCUCACCUGAUAUGUACCCCCCCAACCCAGUAAUUGCCUCUUCCAUGUCCCAAGAAUAAGUGCCCAGCCUAUAGUAGCCAUCCCCACUCUCUGUAGAAUGAGUGAAUAAGGAGCAUGGUUUGACCUCACUGCCCCUUCUUAUUAUCUUUAUUGGCCAUCCCCAAGCCAACCUUAAGCUAACAUAUAAUCUAAGCAAAAAAAAAAAAAAAAAAAAAAAAAUAGUAUUCUCAGUAUGCAAACAGCUGCAAAACAAGUUUGCUAUGUUCCCCUUCACCACAUCUACCACCUUCUCAACAAUUUGGCCAAACCCCUCCUCUAUAAAUAUCCUAGAGUCAGCACUACGCAGGCACACAGAUGGCCUCCCAGGAAGAUUUGCACUCUCUCCUCAGGUGUACUUUCUCUUAGCAUGUGUGUUGUAAUUAGUAUCUAUCUCUUCCUCUGUACUAAGGGGACUUGAAGACAGCGAUCAGUCACUUUCUCAUCUCUGUAUUCUUUCCCUGGCCUCUUCCAAUUAGCUUCUACUCUUGUGUCCGGCUUUGACUAAAUGUGUGAAAAAUUAACAGCAAAGCUAGAGAUGGGUCCCAGGGCUCUUCUUACCCAAGUUCCAGCUUUAUCAUAGCUCCCUACCUCCUCGGGCAGCAGUUCUCAAUCUGUGGGUCACGACCCCUCUGGCAGUUGAAUGACCCUUUCACAGGGGUUGCCUAAGACCAUCCUGCAUAUCAGAAAUUUACAUUACGAUUCAUAACAGUAGCAAUAUUACAGUUAUGAAGCAGCAACAAAAAUAAUUUUAUGGUUGGGUCACAAGAUGAGGAACUGUAUGUAAAGGGCCAGAAGGUUGAGAACCACUGUCCUAGGGUAUGUGUGCGGAGGCUAGUUGGUGGCAGGCCCAAAGAUAUAUAUUCCUUUUGGUCCCUACACAUAUCUGAAGCCAGUAAACAACCUCCAUAAACGUCCUCUGUGUUCACUUCCUUGCCUCUGCUGACGGUCCUACUGGGCCUGGAAAAGUCAAGGAGUGACUGUCUGACACAGGCUUGCCAGGUCUACCAAGUAAAAAUAUGGGAUGCUCAGUUCCAUUUGAAUUUUAGACACACAACAUAUAAUUUUUAGUGUAAGUUUGUCCCAUACAAUAUUUGUGACAAACUUAUACGAACAGCAUAUUAUCUGAAAUUGCAAUUUAACUCAGUGUCCUGGACUUAUCUCGCAAGCACAGUCAGACCACACUCUGCGUGAAGAACCAGCUUAGAACCCAACCCAGCAGGGUUUGUAGAGAACUGGCCUCCUCUUGUUGGCAAACUCCAGAAUCCAGCAAAAAGGGGGGCAGCCUGUCAAUGGUUCUGAGGGGAUCAGGCAGAGCCGUUACUUGCAAUAGCAUCACAGGACCACAAGGGGACAGCAGAGAAAGCCUUUGCUCACAUUCUUGGCAGGAAGGGGGUCCCCCAAAACACCUGACUAUCCUUGGGUCCCAUAAAAAAGACGCAAAAGCAGACCCAUCCAAAGAUUCUUAUGCCUGAAGCACUGGUCAUUUCUUUUAUAGCAAUCCAGCCUAGAAGUUUAGAUCUGGAGCAAACUCAACACAUCUUCACCAGAUAGCUGCCAGACCCUCCCCGGGGCAAGGAAGAGGAGGCGAUACGGAAGAAGUAUCUUCCCAUUUGAAUGCCCCUUUAAGAUGUAAAAUCCAUUCUGGGUUCAUGAGCUCAGACACAACCUGGAGUUGUGGCAGGACCUGGCCCCUGCACAGAGUUUGCAGCCCCCACUCUGGACCUCAAGACCCUCCCCAACACAACAUAUAUGUAGUGGGGUGCCAAAUAAAAUACAGGAUGCCAGUUCA